rnacentral:lncRNA from 1 species
UUAACCAAAAAUCUCCAUUGUAUUCUCAUUUUAAUAUUUUUGGAAGUCUAUGUUUUCCUCUAAUCCUUCCCCUACAAGAAAUAAACUUCACACAAUAUCAACAUGAAGUGUAUUUUUAUGACAUCCAUCUAAUCAUAGAUGUUGCAAUUUUUUUGGAUUUCGCUUUGAUUUAGUACGGUUUACUUCUGCUUUUUAUUUUUGCUGAGUUUCAUGACUUUUGAAGAGGAUUGAAUGAUAAAAAGCCAUAUUCAAUAAAAACAAGAGACAAACACAUGCACGUCCCGGAAAAACUGAGCAUAAAGAUAAAAUUUUCACAUUACAGUGGUAAUUAUGGCCAGUCGAUAAUGGACAUUAUGCGUAAAACAGAGUGCAUUAUGGGCAGCCAGUAAUAAGAAUUAUGCUCGUAAUCACCAUUGGCUUCUCAAUAAUCGCAAGAUACAAAUUUGGUGCACAUCGAGAACCAUUACGACUAGCUCGUAAUGGGCAUUACAACCAUAUUGACUUCAUGACCCUUGGAUUUCUG